rnacentral:rRNA from 1 species
GGUUAAGUUAGAAAGGGCGCACGGUGGAUGCCUUGGCACUAGGAGCCGAAGAAGGACGGGACUAACACCGAUAUGCUUUGGGGAGCUGUACGUAAGCGUUGAUCCAGAGAUUUCCGAAUGGGGGAACCCACUAUCUUUAGUCGGAUAGUAUCCUUACGUGAAUACAUAGCGUGAGGAAGGCAGACCCAGGGAACUGAAACAUCUAAGUACCUGGAGGAAGAGAAAGAAAAAUCGAUUUCCUGAGUAGCGGCGAGCGAAACGGAAAGAGCCCAAACCAAGAAGCUUGCUUCUUGGGGUUGUAGGACACUCUAUACGGAGUUACAAAAGAAAGUUAUAAAUGAAGCGGUCUGGAAAGGCCCGCCAAAGACGGUAACAGCCCGGUAGUUGAAAUGGCUUUCCCUCCAGAGUGGAUCCUGAGUACGGCGGAACACGUGAAAUUCCGUCGGAAUCCGGGAGGACCAUCUCCCAAGGCUAAAUACUCCCUAGUGACCGAUAGUGAACCAGUACCGUGAGGGAAAGGUGAAAAGCACCCCGGAAGGGGAGUGAAACAGUUCCUGAAACCGUGUGCCUACAAGUAGUUAGAGCCCGUUAAUGGGUGAUAGCGUGCCUUUUGUAGAAUGAACCGGCGAGUUACGAUUUGUUGCAAGGUUAAGCGGAAAAAGCGGAGCCGUAGCGAAAGCGAGUCUGAAUAGGGCGCAUAAGUAACAGGUCGUAGACCCGAAACCAGGUGAUCUACCCAUGUCCAGGAUGAAGGUAAGGUAAUACUUACUGGAGGUCCGAACCCACGCACGUUGAAAAGUGCGGGGAUGAGGUGUGGGUAGCGGAGAAAUUCCAAUCGAACUUGGAGAUAGCUGGUUCUCUCCGAAAUAGCUUUAGGGCUAGCCUCGAGGUAAAGAGUCAUGGAGGUAGAGCACUGUUUGGACUAGGGGCCCUUCUCGGGUUACCGAAUUCAGAUAAACUCCGAAUGCCAUGUACUUAUACUCGGGAGUCAGACUGCGAGUGAUAAGAUCCGUAGUCGAAAGGGAAACAGCCCAGACCACCAGUUAAGGUCCCCAAAUAUAUGUUAAGUGGAAAAGGAUGUGGGGUUGCUUAGACAACCAGGAUGUUGGCUUAGAAGCAGCCACCAUUGAAAGAGUGCGUAAUAGCUCACUGGUCGAGUGACCCCGCGCCGAAAAUGUACCGGGGCUAAACAUAUUACCGAAACUGUGGAUGAACCUCUUUAGAGGUUCGUGGUAGGAGAGCGUUCUAAGGGCGGUGAAGUCAGACCGGAAGGACUGGUGGAGCGCUUAGAAGUGAGAAUGCCGGUAUGAGUAGCGAAAGAAGGGUGAGAAUCCCUUCCACCGAAUAUCUAAGGUUUCCUGAGGAAGGCUCGUCCGCUCAGGGUUAGUCGGGACCUAAGCCGAGGCCGAUAGGCGUAGGCGAUGGACAACAGGUAGAGAUUCCUGUACCAGUGCUAAUUGUUUAACCGAUGGGGUGACACAGAAGGAUAGGGAAUCGCACGAAUGGAAAUGUGCGUCCAAGCAGUGAGUGUGAGAAGUAGGCAAAUCCGCUUCUCGCGAAGCAUGAGCUGUGAUGGGGAAGGAAAUUAAGUACGGAAGUUCCUGAUUUCACGCUGUCAAGAAAAGCCUCUAGGAAGAGUAGUACUGCCCGUACCGCAAACCGACACAGGUAGAUGAGGAGAGAAUCCUAAGGUGAGCGAGAGAACUCUCGUUAAGGAACUCGGCAAAAUGACCCCGUAACUUCGGGAGAAGGGGUGCUCUAUUAGGGUGCAAGCCCGAGAGAGCCGCAGUGAAUAGGCCCAGGCGACUGUUUAGCAAAAACACAGGUCUCUGCAAAACCGUAAGGUGACGUAUAGGGGCUGACGCCUGCCCGGUGCUGGAAGGUUAAGAGGAGUGCUUAGCUUCGGCGAAGGUACGAAUUGAAGCCCCAGUAAACGGCGGCCGUAACUAUAACGGUCCUAAGGUAGCGAAAUUCCUUGUCGGGUAAGUUCCGACCCGCACGAAAGGCGCAACGAUCUGGGCACUGUCUCAACGAGAGACUCGGUGAAAUUAUAGUACCUGUGAAGAUGCAGGUUACCCGCGACAGGACGGAAAGACCCCGUGGAGCUUUACUGCAACCUGAUAUGGAAUGUUUGUACCG